rnacentral:rRNA from 1 species
UACGUAGGUGGCAAGCGUUGUUCGGAAUUACUGGGCGUAAAGCGCGCGCAGGCGGUCUUCCAAGUCAGUGGUGAAAGCCCGGAGCUCAACUCCGGAACUGCCAUUGAAACUGUGAGACUGGAGUACGAGAGAGGUGAGUGGAAUUCCCAGUGUAGAGGUGAAAUUCGUAGAUAUUGGGAAGAACACCGGUGGCGAAGGCGGCUCACUGGCUCGUAACUGACGCUCAGGCGCGACAGCGUGGGGAUCAAACAGG